CUUAUGUAGGCCUACCCAUUGCUGUAAGACUGGUGACUGAGGAGGUGCAACAUUUCUGCUGUGCACUGCAAGAGCAGCUUUGGAUCUACAAUGCACCUCAGUUUGUGCAAGGGCCUGGAUUUCCUGCAGAGUGUUAUUCUGUGGCUUUAGGAAAGAAGACAAUGUAUAAAAUGUUAGAGGAAAAUAGUAUAAACCCCUUCACUGCUGAGGUCUUCCCA